AUUGAACGCUGGCGGCAGGCCUAACACAUGCAAGUCGAACGAGUGGCGGACGGGUGAGUAAUGUCUGGGAAACUGCCUGAUGGAGGGGGAUAACACUUGGAAACAGGUGCUAAUACCGCAUACUGAUGGAUGGACCCGCGGUGCAUUAGCGAGUUGGUGAGGUAACGGCUCACCAAGGCAACGAUGCAUAGCCGACCUGAGCGGGUGAUCGGCCACACGGGGACUGAGACAAGGCCCAGACUCCUACGUGAGGCAGCAGUGGGGAAUAUUGCACAAUGGGCGCAAGCCUGAUGCAGCCAUGCCGCGUGUAUGAAGAAGGCCUUCGGGUUGUAAAGUACUUUCAGCGGGGAGGCGUUACCCGCAGAAGAAGCACCGGCUAACUCCGUGCCAGCAGCCGCGGUAAUUC
rnacentral:rRNA from 1 species